rnacentral:rRNA from 1 species
GACGAACGCUGGCGGCGUGCUUAACACGUGCAAGUCGAACGGAAAGGCCCUGCUUGCAGGGUACUCGAGUGGCGAACGGGUGAGUAACACGUGGGUGAUCUGCCCUGUACUUCGGGAUAAGCCUGGGAAACUGGGUCUAAUACCGGAUAGGAGCCAUUUUUUGUGUGAUGGUUGGAAAGUUUUUUCGGUGUAGGAUGAGUUCGCGGCCUAUUAGCUUGUUGGUGGGGUAAUGGCCUACAAACGCGGCGACGGGUAGCCGGCCUGGGAGGGUGGACGGCCACAUAGGGACUGAAAUACGGCCCCGCUUCCUACGGGAGGCAGCAGUGGGGAAGAUUGCACAAUGGGCGCAACCCUGAUGCAGCGACGCCGCGUGGGGGAUGACGGCCUUCUGGUGGAAAACUCCUUUCGCUAGGGACGAAGCUUUUUGUGACGGUACCUAGAUAAGAAGCACCGGCUAACUACGUG